UACGUAUGGAGCAAGCGUUAUCCGGAUUUACUGGGUGUAAAGGGAGCGUAGACGGCAUGGCAAGUCUGAUGUGAAAGCCCGGGGCUCAACCCCGGAACUGCAUUGGAAACUGUCGUGCUAGAGUGCAGGAGAGGUAAGCGGAAUUCCUAGUGUAGCGGUGAAAUGCGUAGAUAUUAGGAGGAACACCAGUGGCGAAGGCGGCUUACUGGACUGUAACUGACGUUGAGGCUCGAAAGCGUG
rnacentral:rRNA from 1 species